GCAUUUAUAGAAAUACGUAAUUCCUGAUUUCCUUUUUUUUUUUUAUCUCUAUGCUCUGUGUGUACAGGUCAAACAGACUUCACUCCUAUUUUUAUUUAUAGAAUUUUAUAUGCAGUCUGUCGUUGGUUCUUGUGUUGUAAGGAUACAGCCUUAAAUUUCCUAGAGCGAUGCUCAGUAAGGCGGGUUGUCACAUGGGUUCAAAUGUAAAACGGGCACGUUUGGCUGCUGCCUUCCCGAGAUCCAGGACACUAAACUGCUUCUGCACUGAGGUAUAAAUCGCUUCAGAUCCCAGGGAAGUGCAGAUCCACGUGCAUAUUCUUAAAGAAGAAUGAAUACUUUCUAAAAUAUUUUGGCAUAGGAAGCAAGCUGCAUGGAUUUGUUUGGGACUUAAAUUAUUUUGGUAACGGAGUGCAUAGGUUUUAAACACAGUUGCAGCAUGCUAACGAGUCACAGCGUUUAUGCAGAAGUGAUGCCUGGAUGCCUGUUGCAGCUGUUUACGGCACUGCCUUGCAGUGAGCAUUGCAGAUAGGGGUGGGGUGCUUUGUGUCGUGUUCCCACACGCUGCCACACAGCCACCUCCCGGAACACAUCUCACCUGCUGGGUACUUUUCAAACCAUCUUAGCAGUAGUAGAUGAGUUACUAUGAAACAGAGAAGUUCCUCAGUUGGAUAUUCUCAUGGGAUGUCUUUUUUCCCAUGUUGGGCAAAGUAUGAUAAAGCAUCUCUAUUUGUAAAUUAUGCACUUGUUAGUUCCUGAAUCCUUUCUAUAGCACCACUUAUUGCAGCAGGUGUAGGCUCUGGUGUGGCCUGUGUCUGUGCUUCAAUCUUUUAAAGCUUCUUUGGAAAUACACUGACUUGAUUGAAGUCUCUUGAAGAUAGUAAACAGUACUUACCUUUGAUCCCAAUGAAAUCGAGCAUUUCAGUUGUAAAAGAAUUCCGCCUAUUCAUACCAUGUAAUGUAAUUUUACACCCCCAGUGCUGACACUUUGGAAUAUAUUCAAGUAAUAGACUUUGGCCUCACCCUCUUGUGUACUGUAUUUUGUAAUAGAAAAUAUUUUAAACUGUGCAUAUGAUUAUUACAUUAUGAAAGAGACAUUCUGCUGAUCUUCAAAUGUAAGAAAAUGAGGAGUGCGUGUGCUUUUAUAAAUACAAGUGAUUGCAAAUUAGUGCAGGUGUCCUUAAAAAAAAAAAGUAAUAUAAAAAGGACCAGGUGUUUUACAAGUGAAAUACAUUCCUAUUUGGUAAACUGUUACAUUUUUAUGAAGAUUACCAGCGCUGCUGACUUUCUAAACAUAAGGCUGUAUUGUCUUCCUGUACCAUUGCAUUUCCUCAUUCCCAAUUUGCACAAGGAUGUCUGGGUAAACUAUUCAAGAAAUGGCUUUGAAAUACAGCAUGGGAGCUUGUCUGAGUUGGAAUGCAGAGUUGCACUGCAAAAUGUCAGGAAAUGGAUGUCUCUCAGAAUGCCCAACUCCAAAGGAUUUUAUAUGUGUAUAUAGUAAGCAGUUUCCUGAUUCCAGCAGGCCAAAGAGUCUGCUGAAUGUUGCGUUGCCGGAGACCUGUAUUUCUCAACAAGGUAAGAUGGUAUCCUAGCAACUGCGGAUUUUAAUACAUUUUCAGCAGAAGUACUUAGUUAAUCUCUACCUUUAGGGAUCGUUUCAUCAUUUUUAGAUGUUAUACUUGAAAUACUGCAUAACUUUUAGCUUUCAUGGGUUCCUUUUUUUCAGCCUUUAGGAGACUGUUAAGCAAUUUGCUGUCCAACUUUUGUGUUGGUCUUAAACUGCAAUAGUAGUUUACCUUGUAUUGAAGAAAUAAAGACCAUUUUUAUAU
ensembl:lncRNA